UAAAUGAUCUUUAUUACAAAAGGAAACACCAAGGAAUUAAUUAAAGGCAGGAAUAACUGACUCAGAGAAGUGCUGCUCGGCUGGAACAAGGCAGGGUUUUCUGUUGGACGGGAGAACAGGGUUAAUAGAGGUCCAGCGUAAACAUGGUGGAAGUGUGCAGGUGAAGAGUGAAGGAGCGGUGGAGAACAAGGAUGUCAGCAAAACUGUUUCCUACCAAAUGAAGCGCGACUAGCUCGAGUUGAGCAGGUAUGCUUUACACCCCUGCUUCAGCAGAACCACACGCAGAGAUGAGCUGGGGUCAAUGGGAGAAAUGAAGAGAAUCUGAGAGACAAGAAGAGA